rnacentral:rRNA from 1 species
GACGGAGGAGGCAAGCGUUGUCCGGAUUCAUUGGGCGUAAAGAGCUCGUAGGCGGCUUAGUAAGUCGGGUGUGAAAACCCCAGGCUCAACCUGGGGACGCCACCCGAUACUGCUAUAGCUAGAGUCCAGUAGGGGAGUGUGGAAUUCCCAGUGUAGCGGUGAAAUGCGCAGAUAUUGGGAGGAACACCAGCGGCGAAGGCGGCACUCUGGGCUGGUACUGACGCUGAGGAGCGAAAGCGUGGGUAGCGAACAGG